GAAAGCAUCUAAGUGUGAAACUCGCCUCGAGAUGAGAUUUCCCAUUUCCUUCGGGAAAGUAAGACCCCUCAGAGAUGAUGAGGUAGAUAGGAUGGAAGUGGAAGUGCCGUGAGGUAUGGAGCGGACCAUUACUAAUCGGUCGAGGACUUAACCAAG
rnacentral:rRNA from 1 species